rnacentral:rRNA from 1 species
GAGUUUGAUCCUGGCUCAGGAUGAACGCUAGCGAUAGGCUUAACACAUGCAAGUCGAGGGGCAGCAUAAGAUCAGCUUGCUGAUUUUGAUGGCGACCGGCGCACGGGUGCGUAACGCGUAUGCAACCUGCCCACAACAAGGGGAUAACCCGGUGAAAGUCGGACUAAUACCCUAUAAUCAUCUUCGGUUACAUGACUGGGGAUGUAAAGAUUUAUCGGUUGUGGAUGGGCAUGCGUUCCAUUAGCUUGUUGGUAAGGUAACGGCUUACCAAGGCAACGAUGGAUAGGGGGACUGAGAGGUUGACCCCCCACACUGGUACUGAGACACGGACCAGACUCCUACGGGAGGCAGCAGUGAGGAAUAUUGGUCAAUGGGCGAAAGCCUGAACCAGCCAAGUCGCGUGAAGGAAGACGGUUCUAUGGAUUGUAAACUUCUUUUGUAGAGGAAUAAUGGCGGUUACGAGUAACCGAGAUGCAUGUACUCUACGAAUAA